rnacentral:lncRNA from 1 species
CCAGGUGCCCAAUUGGCAACAAGGGGGAGGGAAGGAAAUCCCUCAAACAACACAGAUAACAAACACAGCUCAAAUAAGAUCACCUGAUAAUGUAUUGUAGCAAUUAAGAUCCAAGGGCUCUGAUCCACAAAUAAUUCAAAAAAAAUACAAAAUUUCAAAAUUCCUAUAAACUGGAAUUUUAAGAAAUAUUACAACUGAUAACCAUCAAUUCACCAAGGUUCAAAUAUCAGCCGGGCCAUAUUUCAUUGCGAUCGUGUGUUGGCCUAAACUAUUUUCAUGUGCCAUCAUCGUUCAAGUUUGUGCACGACAAAAUGUAUUGAAUUAUCAAUUGCCAUGUCCGAGGCAGAGAUACUUUCGAACAAGAUGAACUGCAAGGCGCAGAUCACUAGCCCUACUCAGGUCUUUUCUCUCCUCCGCAUCAACAUCAGGUACCAACAGCUUCAUGUUGAUUGAACUACGAAAAAAGUUAGCAACAGUUCACAACUUCAAUAGACUAUUUUUAAGUAUAAGCAGAUUAAGAUGAAAUAGUAUCAUACAUCAUAUGAUAUGUGCAGCGUGCAUAAAAAAAAUCUAGACUACAUUGCUUGCAAAGAGAAUAUAAUUUCUUCAAGCUUCUUUGAACAUCUACGAAGUAAUCGGAUUCAGAAUGUCCUAAGAACCAGAAUGCCACUUGCAGUCACUAAAAAAAUGAGACCAACCCAAGGGCUAACCCUCAUUGGCAUUUAUUUAUAGGAGAAACUCCGCGAGCACCACGCGUCUAAGCCGGGGACUUGAACUCAGGUGGGCUGGCAGCAACCUCAGCUGCCCAGCCAACGGAUCGACGCCCCGUCCUCCACUUGCAGUCACUACAAAGUACUCAUAUUUAAUAAGGGGAUAAAGCAAAAAAGAAUCAUAUUUUAUGAUCCAGCAGGUGCUUGUGUGUGUCAUCCUAUGACAUGUAAAAACAUUGGACAAGAUUGUGACCGAAGGAGGCAAGAAAAAUUAUCACAAGCCGGUAUUGAAAAGCACAACCGGAGUACCAAAUUACUAAUAAGAACCAGUAGAUAGAGCAGACUACGUACAUGAUCCUACAUAUAUUACAACAGAUAUUUCAGUUCUACGUACAGGAUCCUACUCUCCCAAACACGCACUAGAUAGAGCAGACUAAACCAUGCAUCUAGAAUCCUACUCUCCCAGUGAAAAGCAAAAGUAGAACUGUACUACAAUGUUCCUUGUUCUACAUAUAGGAUGGCAAGUUCUAGUUCCUCCUUUAUAUUUCAGUUCUUUGCGCACGAGGGAAGAACUACUAUUGACCAAUGCAAAUAAAACUUGUGUAAAGCAACAUCAACGAAUUACAAGUACAUCAUAUUAAAGCAACAUCAAUGGUUGACAAUCCAUAUACAAUUUCAACUAAUAAGAACCAGUAGCAAAAGAUUCAUCAUGUAAAGGGUAGCACAACUCAGAAAGUAAACAUCACCUACCACAUCAAUGAAUUUAAGCUUUAUCAUACCUUUCUUUUUCUUCUCAAUGACCGAUAAAGACAACAACGUCAAGAUGCUAUAGUGAGUUGAAAGCCUGCAACACGGCAACAGUGCUCGAGUUACUAUUUCUAUCUAAAAAAGAUGCAGAAUGGUUGCUCACAAAUGUCACCUACUCACAUGAACUUGAUUCAUACAACUAUAUUGAUCUGCUUGCAUCUAAAUCUAAUUAAUAAUUGGUCUUCUGUGCCUCCUAUAACAUAUGAAAUCUGAUGUCAAACUAUUGAAAAUACCAUGGACAAAUACAUAGCUAUGAAAUUGAACCAACUGACCCACAGGUCUGGUGCAUACAGGUGCAAAGUUUUAUCAAAUAUAUGAGCAACUACAGGCAUCAAGCUUCAGACUAGUUUUCACAAUUUGUAUGGGCAGCGUAGUAUGCUACAUAGAAACAACUCAUAGGCAGCACACAAGAAAAUACAACUGGUACAUACACAAGAAAAAUACAAACUCUUAUGCAACUAGUGGUUCAACAUCAGGGGCGGCGAAGGCAUGAACUGAAGAAAUAUAUGGGGGAGGAGGAGGGGACUAACCCUUGAUCAGAUGAGAUAGAAUACGUCCGCGGAACUGACGCCGUCGCCAUCGCCGUCGCCGAAGGGGACUGGAGCUUCGAGGCGGAGGUUGGAUCCGGGGAAGGAGAACGGUGACGACCGUGGUCCGUCGCCGUCGCUGGAGGGGCGGAGUUGGAUCCUUAACACCGGAGGGAGAGGGUCGGGAGAGUCACUUCUGUCGCCGGCGGAGGAGCUCGGAGGCGGUCGGGGGCCCUGGAUCUUGCUCAAUGACGCUGGAGUUCGCUCGCCUCUGUCGAGCCAUGGAUUUCCUCCCCGACCUCUCGGGUCGUGGCUUUCCUCCCCGAGGAAAGGACGUGGAUCGGGCAGGGUUAGCCUCGAGUGGUGCGGUCCAAAUGACGCAAUGGAUCUCCUUGGGCCAACUCGGCCCGUG